UACAGAGGGUGCAAACGUUGCUCGGAAUUAUUGGGCGUAAAGAGCUCGUAGGCGGCCUGUCGCGUCUGCUGUGAAAUCCCGGGGCUUAACCCCGGGCGUGCAGUGGAUACGGGCUGGCUGGAGGCAGGCAGGGGUGAACGGAAUUCCCGGUGUAGCGGUGAAAUGCGCAGAUAUCGGGAGGAACACCGGUGGCGAAGGCGGUUCUCUGGGCCUGUACUGACGCUGAGGAGCGAAAGCGUGGGGAGCGAACAGG
rnacentral:rRNA from 1 species